UACGGAGGGUGCAAGCGUUGUCCGGAAUCACUGGGCGUAAAGGGCGCGUAGGCGGCUCAUGAAGGCUGUGGUGAAAGUCCCGGGGCUCAACCUCGGAUCGGCCGUGGCGACUCGUGGCUGGAGCACUGUAGAGGCGGGUGGAAUUCCGGGUGUAGCGGUGGAAUGCGUAGAGAUCCGGAAGAACACCAGUGGCGAAGGCGGCCCGCUGGGCAGCUGGCUGACGCUGAGGCGCGACAGCGUGGGGAGCAAACAGG
rnacentral:rRNA from 1 species